UCUGUUCUUGUGUCCCCUCGCUCAAUCGCAUCCUGCAAUCCACUAUAAAGUUCCGUUCGUAGCUUUCCUUGAUUGUGUCGGAUCUAGUUUAGUCUAUUUUGCUCGAUACAUGUGUAUACAUCCUCCCAAAAUUGCAGUGAAAAAUGCCCGGACUUGAGUAGUAACAUUCCUUGAUCAGGACGUUGCUAUAGGUAGAAUGCAUAGUAGUCCAACAAUGUUACGUAUUUCCUGCUAUUUGUACCUCCUUUUGUUUUCUUGUAGGGUAUCUCAAGUUUAAAACCAUCUUCUCCAUAUGGGAACAACAACGGAUAUUGCAUGGACAUGAAUUUCGGGUGGAUCUCUGAUAUCCUUUCUGGCUCCAUAUUUUUGUACUCAACAACAAUGUCACGUCCUUCACUCUCUUCGGUUGGAUCUCUUACUACCAAUGCUGCAACUUCAGAUGCGGAUGGAAGGUUGUGUGUUCCGUUCCUUUUGCCUAGUAUCCGAAGUAUGUAAUCAUGGUAGUCUCCUUCUUGGAAUCUAUCUCUUGCCAUUCUGAAUGUUUUUGCAAGGAUGCUGUUGUCGUCGAGCAUUAUUUUCAGUUCUUUGACGAUAUUGGGGUCCACUGUUGAUUUUUUAUCAUUGCAUCUUGACGCACUUAUCAUGUUUUCCACCUCAUUUUCGAUAUUAUAGAUGUAUAGCUGUGCAAACCGAGGUUUGUCUAUACCUUGAGGCAAAAGAGUUCCGAUAUGGUGGUAGUUUUGUCCAUGCAAACGAAAAACAUAAGGUCCUUUGCGAGUGUUUAUUUCCUUGUCCACAGCUCCUCCCAUCGAUGUGAAUGAAAACAUUGAGUUGUAUGACCUUAUAUUUUCUUUGAAGUUUACCGAAUCCUUCCCUUCACUUCUUAAGAGGUUUCUAAGGUAUGGUGGAGGUUCUCUUAGUGGCGGCAGAUCGAUUUUCCCUUGUUUGCAGCAUAUUCCAAAAGAGGGUGUCGUAGUUCCUUUGUUUGAAUUUAAUCUUUCUUCACACCAUAGCAAUGCUUUGCAAUAUUGGCAUUUGUAUGUUGGCCUUCCGAAGUUCCAUGGCUUGCUAUUAGCACUUGUUGAGGUUCUGGUUCUGUUGUUGUCUCCAACAUUGACUCUAGUGUUGUUUUUGUUGGUUUCGCUUCUGGCGCACUUCAAUUCCCUAUCUUCUUCAGCAUUAGCCUUUCUCAAUCGUUUAGGAGCCUCUGUGUUCGCUUUUCUUCUUCCCUCUGCAGUCCUUGUCCGCUUUGUACUCCUUGAGUUUAGAGGUUGUUCUUUCUUUCUUUUUGUCUGGUGAGCUGCUGGGUCUAACGUAUGUUGGACUCUCAUAUCUGCAAAUGUGAUUUCGUCAGUGUGUAUAGUUUCCUUAACAUAGUAUCAUGUAAUAUGAUUUAUUUUGUAAUCCCUCUGUAAAGAAAUAUAAGAGUGUUUAGAUUACUAAAGUAGUGAUCUAUACACUCUUAUAUCUCUAUAGAGAGAGUACUUAAUAGUGUUUUGCUUUUGCAGGCAUGCAAGUGCAUUUGGUGAUGACUACUAAUGGACAUUGUCACAUACAUUACAUCUGGAGAUUAAUGUUGUUUAUCUGGUAGGGAACUAAAAAUCAAUAAUUUUUCAACCAUGUUGCUCUUUUUGUAGCUUUCACAUUAUUAUCAUGGUAGUGUUAGGAUGCAUGAAAAAAAAGAGCUUUACAGUUCAGUAUGAGAAGAGUUUUGACGCAAUGUUGAGCUGAGAUCAAAAUGCAGGCACACACAUGAAGAAUUGCAUCGGGAUAUUACCUGAGGCUGAUGGUGCUGAUGUUGUGUCUUCAGUUCGUUGGACGUUUCUUUGUGCCUGUGAUUGUUUGGGUGUCGCCGGCGUAUAUUGGAUGCAAGUUGCUGGAGUUGUUGCCAUACCUUCAAUUUGUCGGCCGUCUCGUGUGUUUGAUCUUCCCGACAUCAUGAAAAAGUAGCUAUUGAGAAAGUGCAUUAUGGGUCAUUUAUGAAUGUAUGUCUUGUAAAAUUAUGGUUGAAUGAUGUUUAUGUGAUAUAAGCAGAGGGAUGAGUGUAUGUGACCAUACCUCUUGUUUGUUUUCUGAGACUAUGAUCUAGCAAUUUGACUAAUGUAGAUCACCCAAGGAGAAAGUUUUGUGAGAAUAUGUUGGCUGAUAAGGAAGCUAAACUAAUGCACAGAUUAAAGAGAGAAAAUAUAUAAUACCCUGGAACCUCUGCCUGCUUAGUCGUCGAGUUGCUUCGAAUUUGAGAAGACGGAUCAGUCGGCGAUGAGGCGAUAUGAUGCACUUUAUAUAAUGAUAUGGUUAUAUGUUUUCCUAGACGUGUAGGAUUAGGAAUCAUGUAGUGAGUCAAAAUUGGACAGUACAAUACAG
rnacentral:lncRNA from 1 species